GCCGAAAUAGCUCAGUUGGGAGAGCGUUAGACUGAAGAUCUAUAUGUCCCUGGUUCGAACGCUGGUUUCGGCA